AACAAGGGUAAGAAUCAGUCGGGAUUCCGGCAGAUGGGAUAUGAAAGGCCGCAGUCAGGUGGAUGUGUGAGAACGACACAAAUAGUAUUUCGUACGUACAUUAUCAGGAAACAACUGACAACCGAUGUUAGUGGUACAGAUUCUUAUUGUAUUGGUGACAUCCAGGCCCUUUAAGAUAAAGCACAUACCAACAGCGCCCUCUGAUGUCCUUUAUAGAAAUCGCGCUUUUUGUAUCGAUUUAACCCGGACGUAGAAGACAGAGGCCGCCAUGGGGAGCAAAAUCAGUGGCAAAAUGGCAGCUGCUAGUAGGGUCGUGCAGGUAGUAAAGCCUCAUGCGCCAUUAAUCAAAUUUCCAAAUCGCCAGAAUAUCCCAAGGCCUACUGCACAGGAAGCACUGAAAAUGGCUUUUGCCAGCUUUCCAGAUACUUCCCCUUCGACACACAGUUCAGUGCCAUCUGCGGCACUAGGAUCAAGACCCCCGGGAGCUCCCAGCCAGGUGCCCGGGACACCAGACAGUGCCGCUACAGUCAGAGAUUUACCCCAGAGGUAUCGUAGGAAACCUCUGGCCCUAGAUGAGAUGGACUACAUCCAGCGUGGUGGAGCAGAAUGACUGUGUCAGUGAUCAUCAAAUCCAUUUUUUUUGGGUUUUUUUUCCCUUCCAGGUCCUGCACUUCACCUGAAGAAAUUGAAAUUACUGAUCCUGUGAGAAUCUACAGUGGGCUCCUUUCACAGCGCAAACAAUGCGGACUUAUGAUUGUCUUUGCCAUCCAUAUUUCUGUCUAGUGCAGAAUACACAAUUAAAGAUGGCAGCAAUGCUAACCUUUCUCAUAGCGUACUCAAGUAUCAUUACUCAUUCAGAUUUAUAGCUGCAAGUAGAAAGUUAAAUAAGUGGCAGGUCACUGGACUGUAACAUAAAAAACUGAUUGUGAG